rnacentral:lncRNA from 1 species
GUAAUGAAGCCGUCGCGAGAUGGGCCAUUAAGUUCCCCUUGAUGUUCCAGCACGAUGACCUUAACUCGUUUGAGUCUGAUUUAUACACUGCCACGAGGCAGCAUGUCAUGAAUGUUCUUGGUACCAUAUUUCACUGUGCAGUUCUGUAAAUGCUUAGCAAGCUUAGGUAGUCCAAAAGUAGGCCAGAGCGUGUUUCUGCCCAAGUAUUCUUGGGGGUGGAAAUUUUUUGAUGCUUACGAAGCUCAAUAUGUACAUGUCUUAUCAUUGAACCUGACAUAACGAUUGACCAUAUUCUUUUUACUCUUCUGGAAACUCAGUAAUUCUGUGCAACUCGUGAAGUUAUUGAUUAAAUCUAUGAUUGAAUCUUCCAAAAUUUUAUUGAUCUCAGAAGGAGAGUUUAGAGUGAAAAACUCGAUUAUGUGCAUGGAUUGUUUUGAAUCUUAAGUAUCGGGCUUCAAGGAAGUUGUGGGUUAAAUUGCUUGUCUCUCGGAGUAUUUUUUUCUUAUGUUUCUCGGCAUUGGUAUUGAAUACUUGAAACAAUUCCAUCACAGGUGAGCAUGAGCACGACCACGACCUUCUUAAAGAUGCAAGUGAGGGGCAGUGAGGGAAGUCUUUUGUUCGAUGAUGGGGAUCAAGGAACUUCUUCUAUGACCAGUUCUUACGAUGAUGAUUUCACCCUCCUUGACAGUGAAAUUGCUCGCAAGGUGGGUGCUGAAUUAAUCGUUUGUAGCUUUGUUAUCUUUGAAAUGGGAGUGAAGCGGCUGUUACUUUUCAGCCGAUUUACGUCCAAACGUAUUGUUGUUGUUCCCAAUGCGCAGUUGUUCGAUAAUUUACCUGAAUGUAGCAAGCAGAUUUUGGCAGCUUAGAACGGUUUCAGAUUAAUUCUUUGCCUUGAGGGCCAGGUCGUUCAUAUGCUAUUGAGCAAAGUGGGAGGGAGGUAUUCAAAGGAGUUGGGUGUUAACGUGGAUGCUGGAGAAGAAGAAGUGGAGAAAUGGUUCUUAGCUGUUGCUCUUUUUCACCGGCACUUGACAUUCGAUGUUCUGAAGAAGACCUUUCAGGUGGGUUCACUUGUUAAUCGUGGAGCUUCUGAACUUUGUGCGUAACGAGCAUUCAUUAUUACACGCGUCUAUUGCUGUCUAUCAAAUGGGUGGUGAUCAGUUCUUGAUGUGCAGAAAUUGAUAGGUGCUGGAAUUGUUAGUGUAAGGGGAAUGCUGCAUAUGGAAGAAGAGGAUAUUGCUGAUAUUUUGGAAACUGCUGGCUACACCACCUAUAAGCACAGGUAAAAUGAAUUUGCCUCUUCUUUGAAAUAAAUUUGUUUAGAAUAAGUUGGGCCUAUAAUACAUAAUGUUUUGUUAAUGAUCAGCGCUGUUAUUAUCUACCUGCAAGUAUUAUACAACAGCAAAAUCCACAGCCAAGUGUUGAUUGUUUUUAUUAUCAUUGUUAUUGUUUGCAUCCAGAGCGGCUUCUCGUAUUAGGAGGUUAGCGUUACAGCUGGAAGCAGAACACAAGGGCAAGGUGUCCACCUUGAAGCAUAUUCAAGAUUCUCAUGAGGUCUGCCGUCACAUCAGCAACUUACAUGGCCUCUCAACACACACUUGCAACAUAUUUUUGAGGUUAAUUUUGAUUCAACUUUCGACAGCUUUUCGUUGAUUUUACCAGCAUCGUUACACAAGUAUGGGCAACGGGCAUCUACUAUUGUUAAUUGACUUGGAGUCGCCUGUGAUGCAUCAUCGACUGUAGCGUGAAUUAGCUGUUGAAACAAUACGAACACGACAAGCUUCUUGAUUGAUAUUACACAUAUUUUUGUAGUUCAUAUUUUAACGUGAUUUCAAAUACAACAGGGAGCUGCGAGGUGUUUGGCCAGGAGCGGCUACAGACUAUGACAGGCGGACAAAGCGUGCUGCCAUGCACUUACGAAUUGCUGAAUUCGAUAAAUCGGAGGAGUCCAACAUGUUGAAGGAAAGAACUCAUUUAGUUGUUGCUAAUGGUCAAUAGAGUAUAUGAGUAAUGAGGGAUAUCCUACAAGGUUAGUUGCUGGUCUAUAGUGCCUUAGAAUACAAGGAGAGGGCUGGUCCUAAGAGAUAUCCCAUAUGGGUUGUAACACAUGGUACCUUGGUACUAGUAUAUAAGAAAAGGGUUGGCAUGGGAAGAAUCAUCUCAUACCACAUUCUAUUUGUGAAGUGCAACCUUGCUGGUCCUAACUUGCUUGUGUGGAGUUUGCUUUCUAUGUUUCAAUAGGUUAUGGGCCCACACUCUCUUACCAAGUAAGUUGUUCUUGCAUUAUUUUCUUUGUUGCUUACUUUGGUGGUUGGGAUCUUAUGGUAGAAUGGUGCUAGUGUGUUGUUGAAGUCAUUGCUCCUGGAUUUGUGAGUAUAUGAGUUUUGUGCAAGACCUUGAUAGUGUCUUUGCUGAAGUAACACUAGUGUUUGAAAGUUUCAUGAGAUAGUGAGUCAUUUUGAGUGGAGUGACGUGAGGGAGACUUAUGAGAGCCAUAGAAUUACUUUACAAUUCAUUCCCCACCAUUUAGACGUGAUUUGGACUCAUAAUUUACAAAAAGUUGCAAAACAGCGAAUUCUGGGUUUGUGGUUCAGCGAUCUUUGAGUAGUGAUAUCUUCUCCAUUACAACUCCAAAUCAAGAGUUUUUUGGACCUACGUGUAGCUUGAGAUGGCAUCUUUUGAGGGUGAUAGCUUGAGAAUGGUUGAAAAGUUCAAAGGUGACAACUUUCACCACUGGAAGGCCAAAAUGGAGCUACUUUUGGCGUCAUUGGAUCUUUGGGAGAUUGUAUGUGAGGACGAAGAGGCACCUGGGGUAGAGGCAAGUAUCAAGGAGCAUAAGGAGUUCAAAAGACGAGAAAAGAAGGCUUUUGGCAUAAUUGCCACCAAUUUAGAUGAGAGCAACUUUGCUCAUGUCAUUUCUUGCAAAGGGGCAGCAGAGGCAUGGAAGACUCUUUGCAACGUCUAUGAGAGUAGAAAUCUCUCCAAUGUACUAUGGUCAAGGCAAAAAUUCUUCACCGUGAAGAUGGAAGAAGGUGAAGAUCUCAUGGCUCAUGUGAAUAAGGUAAAAGCACUUGCAAACCAACUUGCUGUUAUUGACAAGCCUUUACCUGAAGAAGAUGUUGUGAUGACAUUGCUCUCAAGCCUUCCAGACUCCUAUUCCUCCCUCAUUGUGGCAUUGGAGUCAAUUUCAAGAAAAGAUCUUACUUUGGACUAUGUCACGGCAAGACUAGCCCAUGAAGUGACCAAAAGAAAGCAAAAGGAGUCUAUUGGAGAGCAAUCAGCACUAUUCACGAGACCAAGUAAGGCAAGUACUUCCAUUCAACGUAAUCUUCCCAAAACUUGUUAUAUUUGUGGAAAACCAGGGCAUUUUGCUAGGAAUUGUUUCAAGGCAAAGAGAGGAGAAAGAGAGAAUGCCAAUAAUGCUUUUCAUGACCAUGGAGGUGAUGACUUUGCAUUCAUGGCAAAACAAACUUCUUCCAUGCUUGAUAUGAGCAAAUGGAUCGUGGAUUCUGGAUGUACCAAACACAUGACUCCAUACAAGUGUUCAUUUAACACUUAUCAACCAAUUCCAGCAACUAAGGUUUGGUUAGGUGAUAAUGGUAUGGUACAAGCCAUUGGAAUGGGCACCAUUGUAGUGGAAGUAGUGGUCAAGGGCAUAAGCAAGAGGAUCACACUCAAGGAUGUGUUGCAUGUGCCAAAGAUGAAGAAGAACCUCCUUUCGGUGAGCAAACUUGUAAGUCAUGGGUGCAAAGUGCAAUUCAAUAUGAAUGGAUGUUUUGUGAGAACCAUGGAAGGCAAAGAAGUAGCAAAAGGGAUUAGAGAUGGCAAUCUCUAUAUUAUCAAUUGCAAGCGCAUCAAUGGAGUAGAGGUUGCUGCUUUUGCUGAAUUUCCAUCAAAUGAAGAUAAGGUGGGCAUUUGGCAUCAAAGACUUGGACAUUUGAAUGCCAAAAGCAUGAAGGAGCUUCAAUCCAUGGUAAGUGGCUUAGACCUUGGCCAUUCUACUAUGAAUCUAUCUUGUGAAGGUUGCAUUCAAAGCAAACAACAUAGGACACCAUUUCCUAGUGGAAUUGCAACAAGAGCAAAUCAAUUGCUGGAGCUUGUGCAUUCGGAUGUUUGUGGACCCAUGAAAACAGCAUCUAUGAGUGGAGCAAGAUAUUUUGUCACAUUUAUUGAUGACUUUUCAAGGAAGGUAUGGAUUUAUAUCAUCAAGGCCAAAAGUGAGUGUUUUGCUAAGUUUAAGGAGUGGAAAGCACUUGUGGAGAAGCAAUGUGAGCACAAGAUUAAGGUGCUGCGAUCGGACAAUGGAGGUGAGUAUUUGUCCAAAGACUUUGAUGAGUUAUUGAAGCAUGAAGGCAUUGCAAGACAAACCUCCACUCCCUAUACCCCACAACAAAAUGGAGUUGCUGAAAGAGCAAAUCGCACCAUUGUGGAGAUGGCAAGGAGUAUGAUUCAUGCUCAAAAGCUUGGAUAUGAGUAUUGGGCGGAAGCUGUGGUAAAUGCCGUAUAUACAAGAAAUAGGUGUCCCACAAGUGCACUUGAAGGAAUGACUCCCGAAGAAGCUUGGACGGGUAAGAAACCUUGUUUAUCUCAUAUGAGGAUUUUUGGAUGCAUUGCAUAUGCUAAAGUUCCAGAUAGUAUGAGAGGCAAACUUGAUGCAAAGGGCACAAGAUGUGCAUUCCUUGGAUAUUGUGAAGGCACCAAGGCAUAUAGGCUCAUGUGUUUAGACACCAAAAAGAUCAUCAAAAGUCGUGAUGUAGAGUUCUUAGAGUAUAAGAGUGCAAGUGAAAAGUGGGAGAUGUGUCCAAGUGGGAGUAGUGGUGUGUUUGUGGACACAUCUUCAAUUUCAGCAAACAAAGAAGAAGAUGAAGAAGAGCAUUCUCAAAGUGAAGAUGAAAAUGAAGAUAUCAUUGAAGAAGAGCCCAACUCUAUAAAGACUUCAAUUCCAGCAAGAUACAACAAGGACAAUGAAGAGAAUGAAGAUGAAGAAUAUCAACCAAUGAAUGAGAGAAAGAAGUGUAUGAGCCAUAGAAGGCAGCAAGAGGUGCAUGAAGGCUCAUCUUCUUUGCAUGAAAGAAGAUAUCCAACACGUGAAAGAAGACCACAAGGUGAAUGGUGGAAGAACCACAUCUUUCCACAAGUAAGUGAAGAUCAGGCCAAUGUUGCUCUUCUUGAUGAUCCAUUGACUUUGUGUGAUGCAAUGAGGUGUGGUGAUGCAAUAAAGUGGGAGAUUGCUAUGCAAGAAGAGUACAAAUCUCUUAUGGACAACAAGACAUCGGAGUUGACUCCACUUCCACCAAAUCGUUCAGCAAUUGGAUGUAAGUGGGUGUUUAGAACCAAGAGAGAUGCUAUAGGCAAUGUUGUGAGGUACAAAGCAAGAUUGGUUGCCAAAGGCUACUCACAAGUUGCUGGAGUAGAUUUUAAUGAGACAUUUGCUCCAGUGGCCAAAUUCACUACCAUUAGAACUAUAGUAGCAAUUGGAGCAUCAAUAGACUUGGAGAUGCAUCAAAUGGACGUCAAGACAGCCUUCUUGAAUGGAGAAUUGGAAGAAGACAUCUACAUGGAGCAACCUCAAGGAUUUAUUGAUCAAGACAAACCCAACCUUGUAUGCAAGUUGAAGAAGUCAUUGUAUGGACUCAAGCAAUCACCAAGAGCAUGGUAUCAACGCAUUGACUCAUUCUUUGUGAAGGAAGGUUUUAUAAGAAGUGAAGCUGACCAUUCUUUGUAUGUGUUGCAAGCCAAGGACUUCUUGCUGGUUGUGAUCCUCUAUGUAGAUGAUUUAAUCAUCUUAAGCAACACCAUGGUAAAAUUAGAUUGGUUGAAGAAGAAAUUGGAGAAAGAGUUUGAAAUGAGUGAUUUGGGAGAGCUUCAUUAUUGUUUGGGUGUGGAAUUUACAAGGAAUAGAGUAUCAAAGACCAUCACAUUGAGUCAAAGCAAGUACAUUGAAGAAGUAUUGAAACGAUUCAAUAUGCAAGAUUGCAAGCCCAUUGGAACUCCAUUGGAAGCCAACUUGAAGUUGAUGAAGCUCACGGAUGAGGAAUAUGCUGAAGUUGAGCAUCAAAUGCAAGGCAUACCAUACAAGGCAGCAGUAGGCUCACUCAUGUAUGCAAUGGUGGGUACAAGGAUGGAUCUUGCAUUUGCAGUAAGUGUUGUAAGUCAACACAUGGCAAAACCAGGUCCUAUGCAUUGGGCAACCAUCAAAAGAAUCAUGAGGUACUUGAAAGGCUCUUUGAACCAUAAACUAUGUCUUGGAGGAAAUAACAUUGCAUUACAUGGAUAUUGUGAUGCGGAUUGGGCUGGAGAUACAAAUGAUAGAAGAUCAACAACGGGCUAUGUAUUCUUUGUUGGAAUGGGAGCCAUAUCUUGGAAUUGUAAGAGACAACCAACCAUUGCAAGGUCCACAAUGGAGGCGGAGUAUAUGGCAGCAAGUCAUGGAGCAAUGGAGGCAAUUUGGUUGAGGUUGUUGUUGGAAGACAUUGGACUUGUGCAAUUGGAAGCCACUCCAUUGAGAUGUGACAAUCAAGGAUGUUUGGCUUUUGCAAAGAAUCCAAAGCAUCAUGCAAGAACCAAGCACAUUGAUAUUCAACACCACUUUAUAAGAGAGAAGAUAGAGAUGGGAGUUAUUGAUAUGAUGUAUUGUGAAACCAAAUACAUGUUGGCUGAUUUGCUAACAAAAGCCUUGGUGAAAGAGAGACACAACAUAUUGAGUAAGGCAUUAGGAUUGAUAGCUAAUUGACCAGUAGCAAAGUGGGAGUGUUGAAGGAAAGAACUCAUUUAGUUGUUGCUAAUGGUCAAUAGAGUAUAUGAGUAAUGAGGGAUAUCCUACAAGGUUAGUUGCUGGUCUAUAGUGCCUUAGAAUACAAGGAGAGGGCUGGUCCUAAGAGAUAUCCCAUAUGGGUUGUAACACAUGGUACCUUGGUACUAGUAUAUAAGAAAAGGGUUGGCAUGGGAAGAAUCAUCUCAUACCACAUUCUAUUUGUGAAGUGCAACCUUGCUGGUCCUAACUUGCUUGUGUGGAGUUUGCUUUCUAUGUUUCAAUACAACAAGCCGAGCAUUUUCAACCCGUAUACCUCGCUGAAACAUCUUGCCGAGAGAAUUGGUAAGCUCAGACAGAUCACAAGGUGAAUGGCCCCAUUUUCUCUAUAACAAAUAGGUCACUGAUGUGCUAUCACCUGGUGUUUGGAAUGAACUUGAGUUCAUAAUUGAUGGUAAUGCCUGUCAUCGCAAAUUGUUAUCAUCGAUAUAAGCAUCUUUUUCUGAUGCAGGUGUGGAUGAAAGGGACUUAGAGGUGGCUCUUGUCAAACUAGGACUCGCUCACGAGCGCCAUUACCGUGAGUGUCCUGGUGGUCCUCUUUGCACCUUCCUCAUCUCCUCUGAUGAACAAGAAAAUCCUGAAGGGCAAGACCUCACCGGUUGAGUAGCGAUCUCAGCUUUUUCCCUUGGUCGUGAGUUGUACUUAGUCUUACGUCAGGUGUGAGUCAAUUUACCGAGUGUAAAGCGUACGAAGAAUUGGUGUAUAUACUUAAACUGUGUACAUAAUUGUAGAAAUAAAAGUCGGUUCACUUGCAUACUCGGUUUGUUAAGUUUGUGUAUCCACUGGCAUUUUACUGCAACCAACAAAUUCUAUUUAGGAGUGUUCAUCCAAGUUAUUGAUGACUUCAUCAAAAAGCUUUCCUGUUGCACAAGUAACUGCCUCAACCAUAACGGCAACUUGGUGUCAUACCCUUUGAACCAUUCAAUUAGCUCAUUUGCAUCAUUCUCGUCUCCUACGAGAAAACAGCACGUACUGAAAUCUGGGUUUGUAGGAUUCCGUUGGACACACACUCGAUUCAAGGGUGAGAAUCACGUCGCCUUGGUCUGAAUUGAAUUCAUAGGUAGGUUAGUGAUGGUCACAUGCACGGAUUCACAUGAAAUUGGAUGAGUAAUGUGGUUUUUGGAAACAUUUUUGAGAAUCGAAUGGUCAAGAUUCAUAACCCAAGUACGAAGUGAUAAAAAAAUGUCUAGCUUCUUGAGAAGCACAUCAGAAGCGUAACAGCAGAUGUGAGGCUUCUGGAGAGGACCCCAAACCUCCCAACAACAAAUACAACUGCGAUGGCAAGAAUCUCCACGCCUUUUGGCGGUUGCAGCACGCAGCAAUUUAUUUCACAAAAUAGGAAAUUUGUUUCCUUUUCGAUUCUUCCACCACUAAAAUGGAAAGGACUUAUAUCGUCCGCCCCGGCAUACGUCAAAAAAAACUAGAUUUUUUAUUUACCUUUUCUUCUCUUCGCCCUACAUUUAUUAUUGGCUUUACGAAAGACUUUAGUCCCGGAAAACGUUGGCUUUCCGAAGAACAAAUUUCUUAAUGAUGAGAAGAGCUCAGCGCCGUGGGAAGAUCACAUGAGAAAGCAAAAACAGAAAACAAUCGUUAACUCGAGGAGAGAACGGUUAUUGAAGACAUGGACGUAUUGACCAUGGAUCCAUCGGAAAGCUCACCAGAUUCCAGAUUUUCGUAGGGGUCGCGAUUUUGUAACGAGAUAUAACCGUUUCAAACUUGACGCAAAACUGGGUGAACAGUGUGCUGCAUAAAUUCCGGAUAAAACUGGGAGUUUCAGGGUUUGCAGGAAUUAGGGAUCAAGUGGGUUGGCAGUCUUCAGGUUUAUGAGGCUCUCCAUUGACGCAACAAUGAAAGAAGGGUUCAUGUUUGACCGCAAUGGCCUAAAAGUACCAAAAGGUUGCAUGUUGUUGUUGAGAGGUUCACAAUUCAAAUUAUUUAUGUGUGAAAGUAAUUACCUGAUCAUAUCAAAGUAAUAAUAAUAGGACUAUUAUAAUUAUAAUUAUUUUAGGAGAAUGUUAAAUAGCCCUAUGCUUUAAAUACUAAUUAAUUAUUAAAAAUAUUAAAAUUUUGUAAAUAACAUUAAUAUAGGUCACAAAGUUUGGUCUAAAAAUUUUGAAGUAUUUUGAAAAUGCAAGAUUUAUUAUCAGUUGCAGAUCUAACUUUUAUCUCUGUAUCAAAAAUUUCAGUUGAAACUUUAUAAAUUUAUAUACCAUGUAUACUAUAGAAUAUCACUUUUGAGUUAGCAUUCUAUUUUUAGUUUAAUAACCUCUUUAGUUUUUAAUUUUUAAAAUAAUAUGAAUCUUAAUUAAAAAAUAUUAAGUAUGUGAAAGCAAAGGUGAAGCAUAUGCUUUUAUAUAUAUAUAUUGUAACUAUCAAUGAUAAAAAGUUUAAUAAAAUUGACAUCAGUAGAAUUUAUCAUAAGUUUUAUUUUAAAAAAUAUAGACUUAAAAAUAUAUAUCUUUUUAAAUGAAAUGGUCCAAGUUUCUAAUUUUAUUUUUUUAAAAUAAUUAAAUUUAUUUAUCAGCACAUUAAAAUUAUAAAAAAUAAUUUCAAAAUAGCUUAAAUACUUAGUAUAAUAUUUUUUAAAAAUCAAUUAUGUUUGCAAUUUUCUUAUUGUUAAAAUAAUGUCCCUUCAAGAUUUCUAUAUAAUGCUUCACCUUUGCUUUCACAUAUGCAAAGAGUGUAUUAAAAAAUAUAUAUUAAGUUUAUGCAACUUAAAGAUUCUAUAAGGAGUGUAUAAAAGAUAAUGAAAAUACAUUGCUUUAAGAGGAUGUUUAUUGCUUGCAAAGCAAUUUGAGUAAAUCUUUUAAUUUAUAAUAUAUAUAUAUAUAUAUAUAUAUAUAUAUAUAUAUAUGUAUUAGUAGUAAUCACAAUCCAGUUUUUGUAUAUUUUAAUAUUCUUUGUUUUAAUUUCAAACAUUAAAAUAGUAUGUAUCAAGGUAUUUGCAAUUUUUAUCAACCAAACGAAUACAAAGUCAUUACUAGCUGGAAUUGCAUUGGAUUUCUAUCUAAAUUAUGUAUUUAUUUAUGAAAAUGUAUAAUUAUUAGUAUAUUCUAAGUUUUGUAAAAAAUUAUUAAGGGUUACAUACAACCAUUUUAAAAUAAUUUGACAUGCAGGGAAUCCUGAUGCCACAUUCAUGUCCAGGAUGAUGAUCAAUAUCUGGAGCAGUGUUUGAUGCAAAUGGGGAUUAAUUUUAAUGCUCAGCCCUUUCGACAAGGUAGUCUUUGCUUGUGCUUCCAGCAGUUCAUCAUACUCAGAACGAAAAAUUAUUUUCAAUUACUUUCUGAUAUUGACCACUUUGUUGUGGCAUUAGAGAAUUUAGGUGGUUUCGUAUCUACUUGUUCAAUUGGCCACGGUUGAAAUGCAAGAGGCCCUCACUAAACUUUAGCAAGACUCCAAUAGACUCGGAAAUGCCAAUGUAAGGGUAAGGAUGGGACUGGCUUCGAUCUGGUGGACUACAGACAUGUUGCUUGCAAGAUACGUAGGCUAAAUGAGCAGUGGAGCAAUGAGAAGACGCAAAUGUCUGUAGCAAAUGUCUGAAGCAAGUGUCGACAUCCACACAGGAGUUUAACAUCUGCAGGAGUUUUGUUCGGACAUAAAGUGGCGUUGUGGAAUAUUUUCGAGAUUGAAUAUCUUCCUCUAAAGUUUAGGGAUGGUUUUGCUUAUAGAGAAGUCAUCUCGAUACUCUAGGUUUCGAACUUUUAACUCUUGUCUCUUUGACAUUGUGUGUAAAUGUCUCAAUUACCUUUCUGACAUAUUUGGACGCAUUGAGCUUGAUAUAAUGAACAUAUUUUUGACAUAGUCUGCGCACAUAUGUAAUUUGCUCAUGUUGCAGAAGAUUGAAGCUCGGCAUAACUUGUGCCUCUGUCUUAGGCAAAGAUCUGGAAAUCAUUUUAAACGAGACUCUUGUUCAAUCAGAAAGGGAGGCUAGCAUGAUUCUAGUGCAAAUAUCGUCUGGGAUUGUGAAGUUGAAUAAGUAGCUGCCGCGGAUCAUACACUAUGUCUUAAAGCUCGAAAAUAUCCUCUUCAUUUCAGGUGGCGUGGUGAAGAUAACUGAUUUUGGCCUUGGCAAAAUCAUAAAGGAAGAGCCCGAGCCUCAACGCAUGGAAUUGAUGUCUCAAGUCGCAGAAUUUUACUGGUAAAAUGUGCAAAACAAUCAUAAAGGCAAUGUUAACUUUGAAUUCGGUACAAUUACUGCGACUUUGCAUAAAAUCAUUAAGCUUAAUACUUAUUAGCCACCACUGAUGGGCUUAUUAAUCGCAGGAGUGUGUCACUGUAGUUUGUCCAUGUAUUCUAUGUAUCUUCUCAGUGAACCAAUGACAAUGGUCCAGUUUCUAGGUGUAAUCAAUCGUAAUAGUGGUGCGCAGGUACUCACCUCCUAAAUGUUUGACCUGAACAAGAUUCCGUUAAUAUCUUCUUAGGUAUCCUAAGAAGAUGACGCUAUUGAUACUUUGAUGCUCAUUGCUGCAGCAAUUUGCAUAUUCGAGUGUGGGGGAAGUUGACAAGUCCAGUGCGCUUGUUUCAGGUCGAUGUGAGGUCAGUUGUUGUCAUGUUGUAGUAGAUGAUCUUUGGAAAUCGCCCCUCCGGCCACAACCAAUGUCAAGAGCAGUUGAUGCGAAAAGACACCAGAGUCAAUGCCGCCAAAGUGGAGUUUCCAGCGCGGACAUUUGUUUCCCUGGAGGCAAAGAUCGUUACAGAAUAAGACCUGCACAAUAAUGUUUCUCAUUUCAAUUCGAGAGGUUGGAUUUCCAUGUCAGUUGUGGUUUUUUGUGUUACCCAAGUCGUGCUACCAAAGUUACUUUGUUCAUUUCUUCUCCUUCACAGAUGGUAUAUAGUUGUGUACUGUGUCACUCGACGUGGUGGCUUCAUGACCUUUCUCUCGGUUGUGCGUAUAGCACACUUGUUUGUUUGUGUGUUCUUAUUUUUGGAAUUUCAAUGUUCUACUCAGCUGAUCGUUAUUCAGAUCCGUGAGGUUCGUCAAUUUUCGCUUUGGUUAACGUAACACAGUUUCCAUGAUUGAUGAAAUCUGCUGAUGAUAGUCAAACUGGUUGUCAUUUACUGCUCAGGGAUUCUGAAGCGAUGUCUUACCCACGACGAAGUGGAUAGGCCAGAUCCGCUGACCGCAGUUCAAUAUACUUACUUAUCAUCUAUGAAGAAAAAGCUCCAACACGCGGUGAUAAACUUCACCAGCACGAAAUUGCAGUGGAUGUCUUGAAUGGUUGCCUUACUGAAAACUCAUACUCCCGGUUCAAGUCUGGUAAAUCAUUAACAUAUUUUGAUUUACAUGACGUAAUCUACCGAUUCAAGGCAGUUGCAUUUAUCAAAUCCCACGUUUCCAGCCACGAACUUUAGGAGUAACGCAGUCAAACUUGUUUACCGAUGUGCUUGGAUGACUAGAUCAGGGUUAUCCAAGUGCAAUCCUUGUGCACUAAGGCCCCAGAGAUUCAUGAAGAGUGUGGGCUGUACAUCAAUGUAACAGAAGAUUGGAAGAAUUUUCAACUUUCUUGAACAAAUUCCAACUGUCUACUUCUCUACUGAUGGUAAACUUAAGUAGAUAAUUGCUUUCUUUUCAGAAUCGUCUUCUAUUUACUUCUGACAGAACACUUUCGGUCUUCCUGUAAUAUUGAAAUGCGGUCUUUCUGGAAAUAAAUAUAUAUAAAUAAAUAAUAAUAAUAAUAAUAAUAAUAAAACUAUCUUCAAGAAAAUGUGCCCAACGAGGCGACUCAGUCUGGGUUUUGACACAGUGUUGCUGCUCUGAUCUAUCAAACUUGCCCACGUUGGAGAAUUUCCUAAAGGAGGAGCGAAACGCUACUGCGUAUCUUUAGAUUAUUGAUCACUCAAUUCUUGGUCCAGAAUCUAUCUUCUACUGCUAACCCCAUGUGGAGCUAGCUCUUUAAAGCUCUCUUGAUAAAGUCUCGUGGUUCCAGAAGCGAAGGGUGGUGGGCUCAGUUUCCAAGUUCAAUAGUCACGAAAUUUUAACAGAGGUGGGCUGACAAGAUGAGGCUGGUCGUGCUUGGAGACCAAUGAAGCUGAAAUCAAGGGGCCCCAGAAUGAUUGGCCAGGACCUUGCCGACCUAACACUAAAUGGGCAAGGGUCAUGCUGACAUUACUCGGGAUGACAUAGCUUUUCACCGACGUUGAAGGUCAUCGACCAGGCUUCACCGACACUCACAGUGAGUGGUCAGGGUCCUACCGACACCGCUAGGGUUGGGUUCCUGAAGGUCGACUUUGCUCUUCACACUUUCAAUGUUGGAGAGAAGUCUUGUCAUGUUAUCCUACUACAGUAAUGAGAUGUAUGACAUAAUCAAUUAUACGUUUUUUAAACAAAGCAAAACUAUCUCAAUUUUUUCAUGAUAAAUUAAAAAGUUUUCAAUGAAAGUUUGACUUUUUUUAGUUUUGUAGGAUAAAAUCUCAUGAAAAUCAAGUUCGAAGUUGUUAUUGUAAUUUUGAUAAGCUUUGCGUGUUAAAACUUCUCAAUAUUUUUCAUGAUAAUUUAACACAUAUCAUGUAUAUUUGAUUAGAUUAAUAUUGUUCAGUCCAUAUUCAUUGAUAUUCAGUGAAAAUUCAAUCUUUACUUUAUUUUCCUCUGAGACGAAGUACAUCACGCACAUCAUUGUGUACAGAAAUCAAAUGAACUCUACGUUUUCAAGGAGAUAAAAUUGUUUUGAAAUGAGGAACUGGUGAAUUUGAAGACGGAGUCAUAAUCGAAAGUGCCACACUUUGACCAUCAGCGUAAUUGGCGGAAAAGCCCAAGUUUGACACACACACAUACACAACUUGAUCUGAUCACCGCAACAAGAGCUAGCUCAUCACAACACGACCUGAGACACAAUCCCUCAAGUUCGCCAUACAUUUACUUACCUCAACAAAGAGAGAGACGCACACACACAAACACCAAGCACUCUUCAAACUAGGCAGUUUCCCAGACAGAAAUCCACCACAGGGACGUGGGGAGCGAGGAGUUCGACACACCGGAGUGGACCCAGUCAACCUGGCAACUGCUCAAGAAGAAGAACCCUGACUACGUCUUGACUGAUACAAAAGCUCGAGUUUCUAUGGUCAGAAGGUUUCAGAGGCAACCACCGUCAAGCACAAGUAGCAAAAUUUCAGAAGCAUUCCGUUCUGCAGCUCCGGUCCCAUUGCAGUCGUCACACACUUGAUUCUCACAGGGUGCUGAUCACCAUCAAUUCUGUACACCCAGUCCUUACCUCAGACUCAUCACUAUAGAACGAAAGAAAAAAAGUUAAGCUGUUAGUAAAAUAUAUUACAAUGGGUAGGACAUAUAUUAUAAUGACUUUGUAUAUUAUAGUAAAAUGUAUUAUAAUGUGUAGGAUAUAAAUUUUAUGUCAUUUCCCAUCCACGUCUUCAUCAUGCACCCACAGUUUUCUCACCAUAAAUGUGUGCCCCGAGGACGAGCAUUUACUGGUGUGUAAAUUUAUGAAGAAGAGAGUGUAUUUUUUAUGCAUAAAUAAGGAUUCUCAUCAUUAAAUUUGUCACUACUCAGACGCACUUCAUUUCCCUGGUGACACAUACUUCGGCAACGAAACUUCCAUGAAACUUCCACGUAAAACAAUCGAAACAUCAGGAAUUGGUUUUAUAAUGUCAAUAUGGACAGAAUAAAUGCGAUUUAAUGAAUGAAACGAAGGUUUUCGUUCGACUACUCAACUCCCCUCAGACGUGUGGAGUUCGUGGACUGGAAUGGAUUGUACAGACGAAGUAGAUAUUAUAGAAUUCUUAGAUUUUUGAGCUCAGCUACCGAGCCUCCUUUUCCCCUCCUCCUGAAGUGCUUUCCUUGCCUUGCUUGCUUUGCCUCGCACUACGUGUCGUGCAAUUCAUGCUGCCUCAAUCGAUUCUACGCAACGCGACAUACAUUACUUAGCGUUUUAUGUGAAGCGUGUAGUCGUGUGAAUUGGUUUCCGGCAGUGUGGUGGAGCUUUUCCGCUGCGUUUUUGGUUUUCUAUUGCAGGAGAACGAGCUUUCAAGUCCAACUUCUCGUCGUUGAAGCGCUGUAGCAAAGUGGAUCGUCGUGUGGCAAUGGCAGCGAUUUCUGACGUUUUAAGCGUGCUUUUCGUGGUGGUUUGCGUCUUCUAAAUCGGUUUGGUGCGCGUUACGAGCUUCUGCGGUGUGGAUUGACGUGGUGAAAAAGCGUUUUCAGGGGAUAUUGACAUAUUACCCUGGUUUUGGGCGCUGGGGUUUGAUUGUGCGUGGACUAGGUUUUUAAGUGCUCACUUUCGAGGAGAUUAGCGUGUGUGGUCUUUGGAAUCAAGAAUUUUGCGUGAAGGUUCGGGGAAUUUGUGAAAAGGAGCGGACAUGUAUGAUCAGGGGUUUGAACGACAUGUAUGGCGAGGUGCACCGAGAAUGGGCCACGGUGGUUGGAGCGUGGAAUGCACUCCUGCGCACAAACCAAAUGUGCACAUUCCAGGGAAUAUUUUAAAUUUUUUAAAGAACAGCAAUAUUCAGGAGCUGCUGAGUGCACCUCCGGUGAUUUUCGGAUGUGAAGACCUGUUGCUGGAAAAAUAUGGUAGUGCCAUCGUAGGGAUUAUUAAUCGGUAUCCACCAAUUCAACAUAAUAGCCUUUUACAUAAUUCGCAUGCAGCGCAUGCGGGAGCGUCUACGCGACAUCUGCACUUAAGUGAUAGAAAACCAGAUAAUAUUGCAUCUCGUCAAGCUGCUGAGGAGUGUUUGUUCUCUAGGUCUGGUGACAACUUCGAGGCCAGCAUGGACGUUAGUGGCGACUUGGGUACGUUCUCUUAUGGCACUGAUGUACGUAGUAGAGGAAUGAGGAGAGAUGGGAUUGGAGGAUUAAAUUGUUCUACUCUACUGUUCAGUAACCUAUGAUCUGCUAAAUUUCGUAGCAUGCUUCUGGCUUCUCAAGAGAGUGAUUCUAAAUGACAGCUGCAGUUGAUUGAAAAUUACGUGACAUUCAUUGCGUUCCGUUUGUCUCAGAUGAUUUUGAGGACGACACCCAAAAGGUAAGUUUAUUGUUUGCGGUUCUCAGCAAUCAUCUUUAAUAGGGGAAUGAAUCAUUUCGGAAGGUUUGUGAUCCUCAUCUUUCCAGCGAUUCAUCUUUCAAAGUCCUGUUUUCUUUUCAAAAGUGGCAAUCACCUCCCCCCAGAAUAAAUGCGGGCUAUCCCAUCUAAACAAACAUGGACAACUACUUUGUGUAGACCUUCAUUUCUAGCUCGCGUAGAAAUUUUCAAUAGCCUCAGAGCAAUCUCAAUUGUAGAAAUGGUUGUCCGCUCGAUUUAUUCUGAACUUUUAUUGUCGAUGGAUUAAGUUUGUAGAGAAGUUUUUUGAGUGAUAUGGUUGUUAUUAUAUUGUAUGUUCUUAAAUGAGGUGAUAGGACGGUUGUGGUAAGAGUGUUUGAUUGUCACUCUUGCGUGGUGCCUUUGUCACUUGAGCACACAUGAAGUUUCAAGAUUGCAGAGUCUGGAAGUAUUACUGCAAUCUGCGUCGUCUUCUUCCUAACAAUCACAGAACGUUGCCUCAACUAACAAAGUGGUACGGUAUUCUUGUGAAAAACAUCGAAUGACAAGGUAAAUUCGUUUCAUCAGAUGAAGAAAUUAUCCAUGGACAAAUCUCCCGUAGAAAUGGAAUUGCAGGUAAUGAUCACAUGAACCAUGGUUACCUUGUGCAGGGCACAAGGUAAAAUCAAGUGGUUGCAUUCAGUCAGUCUGUUAAUCUAUGUUCGUAUUCUGGCAGAAACGUCGUGAGGAUGUUCGGAACGGAUCCAACGUGAUAGUCAGGGCCGGGGCUAAUCCAGUGGAAAAACUGCGCUCUUUGAAUGAGCUGAGAGAUUUUCGUUCUGACCGCAGAUUCGAAAACAAAGGUUCACACACAUCAAGGUGAUUUCUGUAAAUUCAUUGCUGGCAUUCGUAAUCUGAUUUUUCAAGGAAGUUGGCGGGCGGACUGCAAUUUUCCAGUGUUUUCGUAGGCUGUCAUUUCUUUCACAUAUAUGUAACAACAAUUAACAUAGAACGAUAAAUAGGUGACUAGUGCUCACCUGAUUACUCUCUUCUGAUCACUCUCUCAUAGGCGCAUGAUUAUCUAAUCAGUACUUUACAGUCGUGAAGUUUCUUUGGCUGACUUGUCAGCUGUUGGGGCUGCAGGGAUGCAAAAAGAUUUUGCUCGGAUGCAACAACUAAUAAUCACGGCGUAAGAUUCUCUCCUGGGUCAAAAGUACACGGAAACCACCAGGAUAUACUUAAAAUAAAUGUAUUCAAGAACAGUUGUGACAGACCUAAUUCCUCACGGCCAUUGAGGGCAGCGUGGGCGGACUUUAAAAACCCAGUGGUGCCGUUCAAACAGAGUCUGGCGGAAGCGUCCUUAAGAGAUGGAUCAUGUGGAAAACCUGUCUCUGAAAAAAGGAACACUUCUCACUUCCAUUCACACGGUAAAUACACAGUGGGGCCGUCAGUGUUUUGUAGGGUUUGGUAAUUCUAAUUCUUUAGCUGUUGUGCAUAAACUUGAUGUGUUGCUUUUGAUCUUCUGAUUUAUGAACAUUUUCGGUUAUUUUUGUGUAGUUUUUUUGUUUCUUUUUUUUUUUUUCAGGAAAGAAAUUCAAUGUGCUGAUUAUAAUUAUAGCCACAUAGAAGGAAUUUAUCUGCAUUUUUAUGUUAUUUCCUGAGAACGAUCAGAUAUUAUGCCAUAAAUACUGACACGGAAGAUGGAUUUCAACUGUUAGGAAGAGUUGAAAAUGAUGAAUAUGGGCGCCACCGUCUCCUUGCUAAUGCCCUUUGGCGCACGAUGAAUUAUUAUUUUAAAGAGGUGCAUAUUCUAUUAGCUUAAAUACGAACUCACCAUGCAUUUCCUGUAACAGGUAUUGGCCCAAGUUGAAUUGUGCUAUCUUUACUGUCUUUAUGAACGAAUGUAGUGCUCUAUUUUGUAAUGCUGUACUAGGAACGGUUGGUUAUGUUAUUUAUUUAUGCUAUUAUGUUUAUUAGGCUGCUGCAGCUUAUGAUCGUGGAGAGCACUGUCGUGCUGCCACUUUGUCUGGGAAGGUUGUAUUUCAAAACUUGGUUCUAAUUAACUGGAAUGACAUGUAUCGUAUUCAAGUUGUUUGUUGUAGAAUUACUCAUUAUGGGAGCAUCUUGUUCGUUAUUUGCAACGCUAAUUGGGUUUGUUAAGUGCUAUAAACAUAUUCAUGCAUCAAUAGUCCUAUUUCAUCUUCAAGUGUUUUGACUAACUAAUCUCGUCCUUUUCAGGGAAAGGAAUACAAAUAUCUUGCUCAACAAGCUGAUGAACUUGCCAGUCAGCUCAUAUUCCAGUCCAAGUAUGUUGACGUAAUUUCGAGAAUCUGAUCUUUGAGCAUGUUUUAAGGAAUUUGCGAUCAACAAAUUGGCUUGGAUGGUAUCAACAUUGUGAGGAUCUGAUUGUUAUUACUUGUUUACGUAUUUUGUCAGGAACAAAGAUAUUGUAAACAUUGUAAACAUUGAGAUCGAUCUGCACGCUUUGCAUGUUGGUGAAGCACUUCGAUUUUUGCAGCAUCGCCUUCAAACGUUCAUUUUCCUUCCUUGUAUGUCACACGAUUCCUUUCAUCCCUCAUGUGUUAUUGGUCUGACAGCAUGUGGCCUAUCGUGAUAUUGUACUCACAGAUGCUUUGACAGGUUCGUUUUUCAAAACCAUUGUAUGCAGUGGAAAAAAGGUUCUAUCUUGGUGUUCGUAGAUUUUCACUUCUGUGAUUGCUUGUGCAGCGGUGAAUAUGCUCACUGUGAUCACUGGAUAUGGCUCUCACAGUAGUAAUGGCUGUGCUAAAAUCAAACCGGCGGUAAGUAGUUUUGAAUUAUUCCUGUUAACGCGAUUGAAAACUUUCAACUCUUGUAAAUCUGCUUGAAAUUCGAGAUUGAGCUCAUUAAUUUGUUCAGCUCCUGCAUAUCUGUUCUACAAUCGUAAGGGUGCUUCGAACCAACCGGGUUGUGUGUGCUUUGUCUUUGAUAAUUUUUACCUCUCACUUGCACAAAAUAACCAAAAUUUAAGGGAUGGCGGAUAGUAAUGUAUCAGAGCAUGGAAGUUCAUGUGCUGAAAAGUCCGCGGAUCGUUAACCUCUUGCUCAUUUGGGCGCUUUAAUUUCGAUUGUUCUUGCUGUGCAUUUUAUCAGUUUCUACAAUCCCCUUAUUUACACCUGUUCUAUAUUAUAUGUGCAGGUUACUGAUUUUCUUGUCAGAAAUGGGAUACCUUGGGGAGAGCCAAAUGAAGGUUGUCUGACCAUCAAGUCGGUGGAUGUUUGCAACAAAGAAUUGAAUAUCACUGAUGGUAAUUAAUUUUAUUGCAAGAAAGUAGGUAAUAGUUGGGUUGUGUAUCUGUAUAGGCAAAGAUGGCUUCACAUAAUGCAGAAUAGACAGAUUAUGUUGGUCUGGAUGAUACUCGUAUGCUAGUUUUGAUUUAUAAUUCUAUCUAAUUACUCUUGCUCGUAGUUUUGAGGUGCUAGCAAUAGCUUCUCGUCAAAUAGUUUUGCUUUUUAAAGAGUUGGCGUUUGGCACAACUGAAAUUAUCGUAAAUGAAUCGUUUACAUUGCGUUGUCAAGUCAAUUCCAUUGUAUCAUUCUUUUAAAUCAUAUUUGUAAAUACUAUUACGAAUCAUUACUUUAAAAUGGUUCACAUCGUUCUCGAUGAUUGUUCAGUGUCACUUCACGAAGCGUAGGGAAGUUGAAAGAAAAUACCACAGAUGCAUGAAAGAAUUGGCAGGUCAUUUCAUGCUUCUAAGAUUUACCGGUUUUAUCGGCAAAGAUGGUGAAUAUCACAGCUAAUUUGUUGCUGGAGGUGACGCUUCCACGAAUUUUGAACCUAUAUUCCGAUAAGUGUGAGGCAACUAACCCUGGUGUCACGAUGAUGUAACAAAUCAUAAUUACAGUUUUUAUAUACAAUUAUUAUUUAUUAACUUUGAUGUACCAGAAAUGUAAAAGAGUGAGUUCAUCAAAGCGGAGAGAAAUACAUUACUAAAGAGAAGGACUGGAAAUUGACAAAUAGAAUCAACGAUUUACUCGAUGUGUUGUAGAAAUUGCCUUUUCACUCUGGCUGUAGUAGUAUUUUUUGCAACUCGGAAUUUCACUAGGUGUGCAAUAAAGACUAAUGCGUUAGUCACAGGCCUCAAAAAAGCCCUUUUUCAUAAUUUUAAACCUGUGGAACCCAGAGAAUGAAAUACUCGUAUUUUCUCAUGACAGGGUCCUGUGACCUUCGUUUUGAAUCUAUUGAAAAAUGUACGUGAUUUCGUCAGGUUUCACAAUCUAGGGUGUACUAUCAUUUUGUGUACUUCCAGACUUUUUCUCUGCCAUUUUUGCAGCAGCAAUUUGGAAAAUGUUGGGUACAGAAGACGCGUUCUCUGAAUUUGUAUUAGAUGCAGAGCUUCGAAUGUUCAUGUCUGGUGCGUCAUUAAUCUCUACAACAUGUGAACCCUCUGAAAAAUUACACAUCAGAACAGUCAACAAUUAGUGAAUGAAGCGAUCCAACGAUGGAAAAACUGUAUACAUCCGUGAAGGCAGGGUAGAGGAACCCAGAAUCAACGAAGAGCUGAAAUCCAACACCAGAAGGGAUAUUUAUUUUAGGUGUAACUAUUUAGGUUUUUGCUUUAAAAUUUGCAAGAUCAAGGUGGACUUUACUGUCAACAUGUAACCUGCCUGUGAACGAAAAAGCAUUAGAAGUAUUGAAAUCUACAGUUGCAGAAAUUCGUAACAAGAACCACAAAUAAUUUUGAGUUAUUACCAUGAUGAGGAGGAUGUGGGUGCUGGUGAUGACCGUGAGGGUGUGGAUGUUGUUUGUGACCAUGCUGAGUACCACGCUGAGGAAGCUCAAUGCUCCUAGCGCGACCUUGCUCAUCUACUUCCUUAUUGAUGCCUACAAUGCCAGCCAAUUGCCGUGGUUUCUCCUUAGGCUUGGAAUGUAAUUUUUCCUUGGGCUUGGGAUGUGGUUUUGAACUCUUCACAGCUUUUUCACGCCACUUUGAAAUGCCAGAUCGUGUGGUUUCAGAGAAAGCAUGCUGUAACUUGAUGUUGGAUCCCAUCUGCCAUAACAAUGAAGAGAUUAACUCUGGAGACACAAAACGAACACUAUUGUGCGUAGCUGCAUGUUCAGAUGGAUAGAAGAUUCAUCAGAGCUUAUCAUUUAGUAAAGCUCAGUUUGCAUAAUGGAGGAGGAUAACGACCCACAUAAUCUAUAAGAUGAAGGCUUGCGAACUGUGUUCCUGGCACUUCUAGGGCCCCUGUUUUCAUUGUUGUUAAUGCUCACAUUCAUUUUAUGAAGAUAUUGAGAGUAGGUUGUUCACCUGGCUGACCAGGGCAUAAAGGGGUAAAGUACUCGCACUGCACAGAACCUGCACAAAAACGCUGAGCAAUCAUGCCAACCAACGCGCUUCUUUUAGUAUUACAAAAUUCGACGAUUCAAAUCACAGAGAAAUGAUUCAAUAAGAAAAAAAUUCAAGCAAUUUUUUUUCUUAUUUAGUUGUACGAUAGUGAGGCAAAACAAUAGGCAAAGACAGCCAGAGUUUAUCUAUUUUGGAAGCAUACCCCAUCCCAAGGCGAACGAGGAUCAUCCAUCUUUUUCCUACUAGACAGGAAUUAAAACCAAACGUAAACUGCAUCACAUCGAGCACUCUGUACAUGGUUAGAGGGCAAGGGAAAUAAAGAAGAAAAAGAAAUCUGUGCGAAUGAAGUGAGUAAACUAAACCAUUAGCUUAGUGCCUGAGUAUCCAACGGCAUCAAAAGCAGAACUAUCAUGCUAGAGUUUCCUUCUCUGCCUACGCACUCAGUUUAGCAGAUACAGCCCAAGAAUGUCUAUUUCCUCACCAUAGCCCAGAAGAAGAAGGCAAGCUCGAAGGCAUUCUGCAGCGCAAAAGUGAGAAACACGUCAUUGAAUAGCACAGCGUAAAAAUUGAAGCACAAAUCUCCUGAAAUUUUUUGUGCACAUCUGAACUAGAAGUUGUUUUGAUUUAUUUAGCAAUUCCAUGUAUACCGGCAUAGAGAAUGUAUAGAGUUCAUAGAGUUUAUCCAGAUUGAAGAUGACCAAGGUAGUAAGAAAGUCCCAUGCAAUAAGUACCGAUUGCAUACACGAGUAAGCAAAAACUAAAAUCAAUCUAACCUUCUUCCUUGAAGCUUUAGUACUGAGAAAUUUUCAUUGCACAACGAAUAGCAUCCAGUACAGAAUCAAAUACCUGAAAGAGAAUGACGUGAAUCAAUUUCAGCAGAAGAGUGGGCCUGUCAAACCAAAAUAAGUCAUCCCGAAUAACCGGUUUGACGAUCUUGUCCAGUGUUUCUUCAUCCUUGUGACUGUCAUCAAGGUCAUUUGCUGAAUUCAGUUCAACCGUAUUCACACCUCCUCGCACGUCAAUUGCUAAAGUGAGAAUGAUAUGCUGCAACUUUGCUCCAACGAUCAGUACCAACUGCAACCACAGAACACAUUUCGGUUAUCACAUUGAAGUAGUACAGGCAAGAAUCCUCAUUUCAUACAGUUACGCACUGGUAUUUCCCCAUCAGAGGCAAGGUUGCAGAAACUCACAAUUGUAGGUAUGAACGCUAUCCAGAAAUAAGUAUACCAGCCUGCUCAAAAGAAAUACCAAUGGCACAAUGUAGGAAUCAGGUGUCAAAGCAAGCACAUACAUACUAGAAGGUGUGCACAUAUACAUUGCAAAGAUCGAAAAACUCUCGCAGGGGACUGGCAUAAAUCAAAUAAGAUUUCAGAGAUGAUAGGUGGAACAAACCGUCUAGAUCCAAGAGGAGGAAAAGGCAGACAAACCCCCAUAAGAAAAUACUGUCAGAAACACAAGCCUUAUUUAGCUGCCUGGUUAAAAAACUGGAAUAGUGUAUGAAGAGACACGGAUAGAAUUAAGUACGACACAAAAAAAACCAACUAAAGACAAGAUUACAUCUAUACAUAUAUGCAAGUGAGAAGGACAAGUAUGACCAUGUGUCCGGCAGUUAUUGAGAAGCCACAUAGACAAUAUUUAAAGUACAGAGAUGCUUUCACACCUAAUGCCAACCACAUGUUUGAAGUCGUCCUCCAUAGCGCGUCCAAUGUAACUGUGGAAAUCGUAAUCUACAGGAAGUCUGUGUUUCUGAUGUCAAGCAUGAGGUCUGAUAAUUAGAGAUAGAGAACCAAAGACUUGAAAUCUGCAGGAAACGACUCUCAUGACAAUUUUUCUAAAUUCGUAUACGUUCAUAAGAUUCAUCUGGAAUGUCAAGUAGACUAUUUUAAACAAUGACUGGAAAGAUGAACACAUGACUUACAGCAAUGAAGCCCAAACGAAGACUUAAGUAGUCGGAUCUAUAGAUAGGCUUUCCGAAUUGCCUGAAGAAGCUGUACUGCACGCACAUUCAGAGUUCUCAACCCAUUAGUUUAAAACUUGGAAAGAUAAUACUCAUAUCCUGCGAGCCAAAUAACGUUGACGAGUGUUCUUUGUAGAGCAGCUUGUGUAGCCAAACUUACGAUGUAACUGUCGAGAUUCAGGCCAGUUACUGUCGUGUGGAGAAAUUUGUAUCUGACCCGGUCUUGAGCAAAUUGGUGAUGGGUGUGCUUCGUAUCCAAGGCUGCCCACAACCAAUCCUCAUCUCAUGAGACUCCUUUUCAUUAAAUUUAUUUUAGUUUUUAUUUUAUUUUAUUGAAGGAGCUACUCUCUGGUGUCCACGGCAGAAAUAAGUGACAUACCGUCGUCUGCAGCUGAGAGUGCGUCUUUGUGGGAAUCCAACUCCCACUUCUUCCAGCUGUGCACCUGAUUUCAUACCAAAGCGUUAGAAAAAACGCUCAUAUUCGAAACUGGUAGAACUCAAAUGACGAAUGAAAACAGUAAAAAAAGAAGUGUUCACGUGCUACUUACUUGCAACACGCCUACAAGAACGGUAAUGCAGCUGUAAAUAACGUGAAUGAUAGCCAAGACGAAGAUAAAUAUAUGAAGCUGGUGGAGACCUUCCACAGAAAUCACUGGCACAAAGCCCUGCAACGAGUAAAUCCCCAAGCUCAGCAAAGACGUAGCAUCUCAAGUCGCAUUAAGAAAAAAAAUCUCAUAGUGAGUCAAACUACAACACGAAUUGUUCAACACAUAAAAAUCUGGCUCUUUUGUGGUUCCAAGAACCACUCCGUAAAAAAACAGUUGCACCAGCAAACUUAAGGCUUACCGCUUUGCACCCAGUUUGAGAAACAGCCUCGGUUGCAAGUAAUCGCCGACGCCGUGCAACUGGAGCCUCGGCCACAGGAGGUCUAUAUGGGCAAGGUAGCAGUUUGGAAUUCAACGACUCCGAAAUGCAAAUGGAGGCUAUUUUGUUUUGAAACACCGUAAGGAAUAGGGAAAUGAAUCCCAGGAUCAUCAACUCUGCAAAACCAGUGCACCACGUUCAUGUGCCCUCAAAUUCAUCUCAUGAGGAAAUUGUCCCAGGUAGUACUCGCAUAGUGCUCUCUUGCAUAUACUUUAAACACAAGACUACAGUUGUGUUGAAUGUUCAGCUUACCAUUCUUGAUCUGCUCAAGCGUAUGGAACAGUUCUUUCUUCUUCGCCUUUUUGAAAUUCUGCAAAAAGAACGCAAGAAUGCACCGGAAACAGUAAAAAAUAAAAAUAAAAAUAAAAAUAAAAAAACUGCAUAGAUCCAGCUCUUUCAGGCAAUUCCGCACUCAAAUACCAGGCCAAUGCUAGAUUCUCACUCAGCAGUUCAAACGAAUCAUGUCGACACCACCGAACUGGAUGAGCAGGUUCGAUCAGAUCCUACCACUAGAUGGAUGGUGUCACGCACUCUCACAAGACCAACAUCAGAAUUCUCAUCUGACUCAUGAAUCGAGCUUCGAAGAACUCAUCUAGCUCAAUAAGAGUUCUCAGCACCGGUGCUCAUCAACUUUCUGAACUCCUUUCCCAAUUCCGAUCCAAUCAACGAUAACCCUGGACUCAAAAAUCCGAUUGACCAACCCUUACAUACGUGGCGAAGCGCAGAAAGAAGGCAACUCUAGAAGACGGCGGCGACGGGAGGAACAAGUGGCUGGGACAAUCGACACAAUUUGUGAACAUGGCGAACCGGUCCGGCACCGACGCACCGACGCGCAAUUGAACAACGCAGUACCUGGCCAAGACGGUGAAUUAAUCGCUCCACCAAAAGGGACGCAAUCACGAACACCGUGCACACCACUGCCACGGUCCAUGUCGGCGUCUGCUCCAACGACUUCUGCUCUCCAGUUCCUCCCGCCAUUGCUUCACUCGUUUCUUCCCCACCUCACAGCAGUAUUACAUAAACACUCUCUCCUUCUCCCCUCAAAGCCAAAUCCAGUGGCCACGACCGAAGCUGGGUCAUGAUCAAAACACAAAACGAAGUCUACCUAUCUGACCCACACACUAAAACACAUACACACAAACAAACAAACAAACAAACAAACAAACGAGCAAUCUACCACCUGGGAAUGAGAUCGGCCAACUGGGCCAAGGCUUGGGUUACUAGUCGUGCGUGCAUACUGCACUACACUGAAGUGCGUGCACACUCAGAUUGAGGACGUAUUCCGAUUUAGGGGGAUACGAUGGGCGGAGGAACUGUUUUCAAAAAUCGGGGAAUACAAUUUGAAUCGCACCGAGUGCUUGGCUGCGGAGACGCGAAUUCCCCAUAUUUCACAGAAACCAUUUGUGCGUUGUGGGUUAGGCGGAAUAGUCGCGUCCCGACGAGGACGCCGCGAUUUCUGCUACUGCUGCCGCCUCUUGUCGGAUCCAUCCAUGGCCCCUCUCCCCCUCCCCUCUCCCCCCUCCCAGUCUCCACCCUUGCAUGGGAUCGUCAACUCUGCCUCGUAGAGGAAGACGAAGGGGACGAAAGUGGACGUAAGUAAAAAUCGACAAAACGUUGGGAGGGGUUCCCAAAGUCGACAAUAAAGUCGACGUAAACUUCAAUACAAAAAAUAAAAAGGUAACUCGGCCCCAUUCGCUGCUGAACAAGUGGACACACCGAAUCACGCUGUGACGCGAAAAAAUAAAUAUGCGACUUCGGGUCGACUCUAAAAAGGUAUGGUGCCGUUGGAUUCGUUGCAUUUGCCUUUCAGAGGUCCAUUGUGAAUGAAGGGGAUUUCCCAAUUGUGUCCCGGAAUAUUCCAACUUACUUGCAGUUUAUGAUCGUUCCAUAUUGUGUCGAUUUAGUGUGUUGAGAAAAUAUAGAGUUUACUUCUUAUUUCCUUUAUUAUUAAAGUUUUUAUGGUAGUAUGAUCAAUUAAGUGAAUAAGCGACAAUCCUUGUCACGUAAUUAUUAUUAUAUCAAAGUAUUAAAGAAUCAUUUAGAAUAUUCAUAUGUGUUAAGGAUCGUGGGACCUCAAGACAGAAGAGUGGAUGAGGAUGAACAAUACGCGGGGGAGAUGGAAAGAGUCAAAACAGUGAAUCAUGGGGAGUCGCACUCGUGGAUGAACAAGUAGAUGAAAUUUUUGGUGAGCGAAUGUAAAAUUGAGGUACGGUCCACCCACGAACUUCACCUGUGGGGUAGCUUUAAGUUGACUGCGUAACAAACCUCCAAUCCUUCUCACCAAGUGGGAACCGCGUUGAGAAAAAUAAUACAGUUGCAGAAUCACUUAUUAACUAGGUCGUGGUCCUUUCAAGUGGUCACCAACCCCAAAUAUCAUUUAUCUGCAUAUACACACUCAAUUGUCGGUUUUUCUACAUGUUUUGCAUUGUUCGUCAAUUACUACCUGCUCUUCCAGCAAAUUAUAAUGCAAAAAACUAUAACUUGUUGUUGGGUUCUGCGAAUUAAGAAGAAUCUGACAGGAAUGACAACACGUAAGCUUCUAACUUUCAGGCAUGGCUCACAGAUUGUGAGACAACACUCAAGCGAAGGAGCGAGUUUAGUGUGACCGUAGACCAUAAUUAUUCAGCAGAAAAGUAGUCCCUAAAAAGAGACCCGAAUCCAAAAGCCAUUAGGGAUGUGCCUUGCGAAGGACAGCGCACGCACCCAAUCUACGAAUAUGUGGAUGAACGUCGUUCAUCCGUAAUCGUCGUGACCUGAUCGCGUAAGCAAUAGCGCACAUGUGCUGUUGGAGAUCGGAGUCGUGGGGAGCUGUCCCCGGCCCGUCGAGGACGGGCCGGGUUUCUCGAUUUAUUGCGGUGUUAAAGUCCGAUGAACUUUGCAAUUUCGUUAUAAUGGAUGGAUGCAUUAUGUUCAGUUCGUGUCAUUGAAACUUUUGCAUUUCUCUAACAUUCUUUGACUUGAAAUACAUUUCUAAGAUUGGUUCCAUGUGAUCAUAAGUUAUGUUUCAUAUGAUUUCAAAAAGUAAGAAACACAAAUAAGAGGUGCUUGCUGAACACGAGUGACAAAAUAGACAAAAUAUGGCAUAUAUAUAUAUAUAUAUAUAUAUAUAUAUUCAUUUGUGUGUGUGUGUGUGUGUGUUUUUUAAAAAUUUAAUGCUAUUCUUACAUAAGUUAUUUUUAAUCAAUGGACAGUACACUUAUGUAAUGACAGUUAAUAAGUAUGGGAUGAAUUUGCAGACACCGUAUUAUGGGUUCAACCUUCAAACCGUGUUGCCAACUUCAAAAAUGAAGCAUUCUUUUAUUAAAAAAAUUGAGUUGUUGAGUUGUAUUCCCAAGUAUAUAACCAACUUCGACACCAAACAAGUUUCUUGUGGUGUAGGGCUCAGUGGACAAUAAGACUGUUAAUAUCUACUGUUUGUGUUGGUUUUGAUAAAUUGAUAAAAAUAUCACAAAUUUCAUACAUGAUACUGAGAAGUUUUCAACUGACCAGAUUAUGUAAAAUAAAAACAAUAUGAUGUUCAAUACACAUACAUUAUAUAGAAUGAAAAUGUAGGUAUUAGUUUAAAAUAUGUUUAGUAUCAAUAAAAAUAUAUAAACUAAAUGAGAUUUAGGUUAUCAUGUGUAUGUAUAUGUGUACAAUAUAUAUAUAUAUAUAUAUAUGGAUGCAUAAUAUGUGUAUUUGUAACAAGUAUUAUGAACAAAAUAAAAUAACACAAUAAACCUGUUAAUUCAAGUUGUUAAGACAAAAUAAUAAAGAGUAUAGAUUGAUACUGUGAAGGAACAUGCUAUGAUAUGUUUGUGUACAAAAAUUGGUGGUUCUAUAUGCUUUGCAAAUUUGGGAAGUCACUGCAGCCCUACAAUGCUGCAACCACAUGUGCAACAUAAACCACACCUUGUAACUUGCACACACACUUAGUAAAUUGACUCAACUUGCAUUACACCAAAUAGACAGACUAAAACAGUUUAAAUAGAUUUGUAUUAGUUUUCUAUGUUAUAUAUUGUGGUUUGGCAUGAUUUGAACAAAUGGCAUAUAAUACAAUGAUCAUGACUAACCAUAUUGUGCAUAGACUUUAGUGGACAUGGGCUUACUUUAUCAUAAUUCCAUACUUUCAAAAACAAUUACCUCUGCAACUACAAAUAAAAACUCUUGUAGAUCUGGUCCACUUUGGCAAAGCUAAAUGCUUUACAGUUUGGGUAAAAAUGGAGGGUCACUUUCUUCACUCAAAAAAGACAAGUCCAAGUGAAUCCCUCCAUUACAUUUAUUUUUGCAACUUCAUAAGUUUGUUUAUUUGUUCAUCUAUUUGUAGCAGUAUUCAUAUACGGACAUUUUAUCAAUGGCACAUGGGUUGAGAGGAAUAUUGCUUGGUUUGAGUCUUUCUCUUCUGUCAUCCCCUUCAUUAGCAAACAUCAAUAAACACCGACAUUUGUUGCAUAGAUCACACAUUUGAAGGUAUUGGUUUUCCUAGAAAAAUCACAAAAUACCAAUCUUACAACCAAGGCUUCGAAUAUUGACAAGGAAAUAUGGUGGAUAGAAGCUUCAAGGUAAGAUGUGAAUCUCCUUAAGUUCUAAAUAAGAUGUCUCUGUUUCUCACAUGAAUAUAUAUAUAUAUAUAUAUAUAUAUAUUUUAGUUGGAAGUAUCCAUUUUGACACAAUAUUACUACCUCAUUCAUCCUUUGACACUUCUUUCAAACAUUAGAAUUCAUACAAACACUAUGCUCUUACUCUAACAAUAACAAUUAUGCUAAAAUUACUUCUAGGAAACUAAGAUAUAUGAAACCACUUAACAAUCUUAAUCAAAAAAAUUAAUCCUAAUGCACCACUUGUUCUGGA